rnacentral:precursor_RNA from 9 species
AAAGAGAGUUUGAGUUAAGGCCGCCCUCUGUCCCUGAGACCUUAACUUGUGAUGGUGCUGAAAUAUCCCAGGUUAGGGUAUCGGGGUUAGGGAGUGUGUUCAAUUGACGGCAUGUCCAC